GACGAACGCUGGCGGCGUGCUUAACACAUGCAGGUCGAGCGGUAAGGCCCUUUCGGGGGUACGACGAGCGGCGAACGGGUGAGUAACACGUGGGUGACCUGCCCUCAGCUCUGGGAUAAGCCUGGGAAACUGGGUCUAAUACUGGAUAUGACUCCACGGUGCAUGUCGUGGGGUGGAAAGCCUUGUGCGGCUGAGGAUGGGCCCGCGGCCUAUCAGCUUGUUGGUGGGGUGANGGCCUACCAAGGCGACGACGGGUAGCCGGCCUGAGAGGGCGACCGGCCACACUGGGACUGAGACACGGCCCAGACUCCUACGGGAGGCAGCAGUGGGGAAUCUUGCGCAAUGGGCGAAAGCCUGACGCAGCGACGCCGCGUGAGGGAUGACGGCCU
rnacentral:rRNA from 1 species